GCAAAGAUAAAAACACAGCCCGGUUGGUAGUCCGGGCGCAGCCCGCUUUAGUGGUUGUCAGUAACCUGCCUCCUUGGUUGUCCGUUCUUUGACCGU
rnacentral:ncRNA from 1 species